rnacentral:rRNA from 1 species
GAAAUGUGAAGGAGAAGGAUGGGGAUGCGUCUGAUUAGCUUGUUGGCGGGGUAACGGCCCACCAAGGCUACGAUCAGUAGGGGUUCUGAGAGGAAGGUCCCCCACAUUGGAACUGAGACACGGUCCAAACUCCUACGGGAGGCAGCAGUGAGGAAUAUUGGUCAAUGGACGGGAGUCUGAACCAGCCAAGUAGCGUGCAGGACGACGGCCCUAUGGGUUGUAAACUGCUUUUAUAGGGGGAUAAAGUGUGCCACGUGUGGCAUAUUGCAGGUACCCUAUGAAUAAGGACCGGCUAAUUCCGUGCCAGCAGCCGCGGUAAUACGGAAGGUCCGGGCGUUAUCCGGAUUUAUUGGGUCUAAAGGGAGCGUAGGCCGUCUUAUAAGCGUGUUGUGAAAUGUCGGGGCUCAACCUGGGCAUUGCAGCGCGAACUGUGAGACUUGAGUGCGCAGGAAGUAGGCGGAAUUCGUCGUGUAGCGGUGAAAUGCUUAGAUAUGACGAAGAACUCCGAUUGCGAAGGCAGCCUGCUGUAGCGCAACUGACGCUGAAGCUCGAAAGCGUGGGUAUCGAACAGGAUUAGAUACCCUGGUAGUCCACGCGGUAAACGAUGGAUGCUCGCUGUUUGCGUCUGACGUAAGCGGCCAAGCGAAAGCGUUAAGCAUCCCACCUGGGGAGUACGCCGGCAACGGUGAAACUCAAAGGAAUUGACGGGGGCCCGCACAAGCGGAGGAACAUGUGGUUUAAUUCGAUGAUACGCGAGGAACCUUACCCGGGCUUGAACUGUAGGCGAACGAUUCAGAGAUGAAGAGGCCCCUCGGGGCGCCUAUGGAGGUGCUGCAUGGUUGUCGUCAGCUCGUGCCGUGAGGUGUCGGCUUAAGUGCCAUAACGAGCGCAACCCUUGUUCGUAGUUGCCAUCGGUUAUGCCGGGCACUCUGCGAAGACUGCCUCCGUAAGGAGUGAGGAAGGUGGGGAUGACGUCAAAUCAGCACGGCCCUUACGUCCGGGGCUACACACGUGUUACAAUGGCAUGUACAGAAAGCUGGGUGUAUGCAAAUACGCUCGAAUCCCUAAAACAUGUCUCAGUUCGGACUGGGGUCUGCAACCCGACCCCACGAAGCUGGAUUCGCUAGUAAUCGCGCAUCAGCCAUGGCGCGGUGAAUACGUUCCCGGGCCUUGUACACACCGCCCGUCAAGCCAUGAAAG